CCUACGGGCGGCUGCAGUGGGGAAUAUUGGACAAUGGGGGCAACCCUGAUCCAGCCAUGCCGCGUGUGUGAAGAAGGCCCUCGGGUUGUAAAGCACUUUCAGUGAGGAAGAACGCCUGGUGGUUAAUACCCAUCAGGAAAGACAUCACUCACAGAAGAAGCACCGGCUAACUCCGUGCCAGCAGCCGCGGUAAUACGGAGGGUGCGAGCGUUAAUCGGAAUUACUGGGCGUAAAGCGCGCGUAGGUGGCUUGAUAAGCCGGUUGUGAAAGCCCCGGGCUCAACCUGGGAACGGCAUCCGGAACUGUCAAGCUAGAGUGCAGGAGAGGAAGGUAGAAUUCCCGGUGUAGCGGUGAAAUGCGUAGAGAUCGGGAGGAGUACCAGUGGCGAAGGCGGCCUUCUGGACUGACACUGACACUGAGGUGCGAAAGCGUGGGUAGCAAACAGGAUUAGAUACCCCAGUAGUC
rnacentral:rRNA from 1 species